UACGGGGGGAGCAAGCGUUGUCCGGAAUUAUUGGGCGUAAAGAGCUCGUAGGCGGUCUGUCGCGUCUGCUGUGAAAACUCGGGGCUUAACCCCGGGCCUGCAGUGGGUACGGGCAGACUAGGGUGUGGUAGGGGAGACUGGAAUUCCUGGUGUAGCGGUGAAAUGCGCAGAUAUCAGGAGGAACACCGAUGGCGAAGGCAGGUCUCUGGGCCACUACUGACGCUGAGGAGCGAAAGCGUGGGUAGCAAACAGG
rnacentral:rRNA from 1 species